GGGACGACAAAAGCUCUGGGUGGAUGAGCAGGCAGAAAUAUUAACAGCUUGAAAGAAAGAGAUUGAAAAUGGAGAGCAGGGUAUGUUUAGAUAAAAUGCUUGUUAUUGUUUUUCUCGCAAAAUACUGAAAAAUAUGAGGCUAUUCAUAAAUGUAUUGCCUUUGGUGCGCGCGCUGACGGAAUUUCCCGCGCUCUUCUGAUACAACAGGAGCAACCAGUGCUCCAGUAUCUUACCACAUCUGAAAGUGAUUAUCUGAGGAAGGCAGGAGGAGCAGUGACGAAAUGGAUGCGGGGUCCAGGAUGGCUGAGGGGAAGGCUGCCUUUGUCUUCGUCCUCCUCCUCUUCAUAGCCCUGGCCUUGCUCAUCGUGCGCUGCUUCCGCAUCCUGCUGGACCCAUACCGCAGCAUGCCCUCCUCCAACUGGACAGACCACACGGAGAAGGACACGUUUGACUACCGCAUUGUCUAAGGAGGACCUAAGGAGCUCCCUCGACACUGUAUUGAAGUGUCCUUCUCCGUGUGGAGAAGGAGCUCCCUUGACACUGAAGCACUGUCAAAUAUCGCAAUGCUCGAGGAGCAACUUUGUUUAUCCAUUUUGCCCAAGGACCACAUGCUGUAUGACUGCUGGUGCCAAACCACCAGUGACACCUUUGGAUUAGAAGCAGCCUUCGAGCAUGCAUCACCUAAAACCUUUCUUUGUCUGCUCUAUUGUAACAUGUUGUAUCAAUUGCUUCACCAAUUACUGCAGUCAUAAGCCGUAAUUGCCAGCCCUUAUUACCCUAAUGACAACACAUACGAGUGAUUCCAUACGAAACCAGGACAAAAAAAGGACAUCAUUUUGCAGUUUAAAAAAUAUAUUUUAUCCAUAGAAUAGUCCUUUGUAAGAAAGAUUGUUGACAUAUAUUUGACAUUUGUAUCUAAAAGCAUAAUUGAGAAAUAAUUGAUCUAAGUUGUCAUAUUUAUGACAUUUUGGCCUUUCCCAGGAGUCCUUAAAUUUGCAUGAUGUGCAAUGACGCAAGUAAAAGGAGGGCUGUGAUUGGUUACAUUGCCUGCUGUGCCAAUUUCUCAAUAUGAAACAGUCAAUAAAAUUAAAACUAGCAGAGAUCCCACCAUGGAACUUUGAUAUGCCCCUAGAGUAUAUUAUGUUCAACAAUAUAUUGAAACAUUUGUUAAUUUUUUUCAAUAUUCAUGUUUGUAUUUUUAAAUAUUCAUAAAUGAAUGUACAAAAAUGUUAUUGAAAUCAUAAUACUACUCAUAUUCCAGAGCAAGCGUUAAAGUUUAAUAUGACACCAAUUUUAGCUUUUUAGCAUUUACAGAUGAAAGAUUAUGGAGUCUUACAGGAGGCCUGGGUAAGGCAAAAAUGCCAUACUAUGGCAACUUUGAUUCAGUAAUUCUCAGGUAUGCUUUCCUCCAAAGGACCAUUCUAUGGAUUAAAUGUUGCGAAAAUCCCUAAAUCAUGGUAUUUUAUUUGUUCUGGUUUCGUAUGGAAUCACUUAUAAGGAACAUCUUCUACCAAAUGGCCAACACUUCUACCAAAUGCCUAACACUAUAGGCAUCAUCUAAGGUACCUGCUAUCAAAUCUAACUCCUGAAGACACACUCCAGGCACUCAACUCGUUGCCACUACUAUUGCAUUAUUUCACUACCCCAUCCCCUUAACCUUUUACUGCGGUGGGCUAAACUAGGGUAAACACAGAGUGUUUCUUAGUAGUCUUAAACAACUCUACUCAGAAAAAAUGUAUACACCUUACGCACAUGGUUAUGAGUUUAAACAAAUAAGACAAUUUUACCAAAUCAGAUAUAGAGUUGAAAUGUAUUCAAUUUUGAGUUUGCAUCCCAAUAUUACAUUUUAUAUUUUUAUAUUUAUCACAGAAUACUGAAAUAUAACACAACUGUUUGACAUAGCAACAUUGGAUGUUUAUUAAUUAUGAAACUAUGAUCAAUAUUAAUAACAUUCCACCCACGAGACCACUUUUGGUCAUUUGACUGCAGGAAAGGGCUACAGGUGCUCUAUGCAACAGUUCCUCCUGCAAAUAGACCUACAUUUCAAUUGUGUACUUGUAGUAGUAAAGGAAUAAAACUCCAUGUAAGAACAAGGAAAACAUUUGAAUGCCGCUUGAAGCUAUAAAGUUGCUUGUUUGCGGCAAGGUCCUCAGUGUAUAAACAGUGUAUCCUGUGGAAUUUUUGACUUCAAUUGUCUACUUUGGCCAAGGUACAAAAUGCACAAACAAUCAAUCAAGCAUCGCUCAAUCAAAAAUACACUUACAUAGAAAAAACAAAUGUAGUUACAUGUAUGCCAACCAGCACCUUGUGCACUCACAAAGACCCUGACCCUCAUUGAGCUGGUUGAUACUUUUGAAAUUGGAAGACAGAUAUUUCAUCAGCCAGCCUAACAUUGAUAUCCAUAUCUUUGUCACCCAAGUUCUUUGUUUUCUUGCCAUCGUGGAAAGAGAGGUAGACAAUGUUUCAAAGUAUCCUUUAAAGAGACUUCAUUAUUUUUUGAGAGGCUUCAAUGGGCCUUAGAUGUUUGAUGUCAGCAGUGGGAUAAGUGUUAACUAUUCAAUGUCUGUAAUCAAAAAAAUGACAAAUCACUUUUAAUGUAAAGGAUCCAGAGUCAUAAAUCUGAAUGACCAAAUGAGGUUUAUUGAAAUGUUUACUGUGCCGUAACUUGUGCCUAAUUAUGAACAUCUGGAUGAGCAUUUUAGGGAAAUGAGUCGAAAGAUUCAUUCCAGUAGUUCUGUCAUAAAUAGCAUCUUGCUAUAGUUCUAUGUAAUAUCCUUUUCAUAUCUGAAAUAAAAUAAAGCAUAUCACUGCCUACAGAUGGCAUGUUAGCAGUGUGCUACAUCUGAACAGAUUAUCACACCUUGGACGAUCCCUUUAUGGACAAUGUCUGUGGCUCUUUAUUUGGGCAACUCCUUAACUGUACGCCUUAUAGAGUAGCAUGUUUACAGAUAGUCAAUAGAUGACAGAAAUAUAUGUUAUGCACUUCAAGCAGAUGUCAUACACCUACCAAAUGAGUGUGCUUUCACACUUUGACAUGUGAUGUUCUUGUGAUAAACUGUGGCCUUUUCCUAUCACAAUGUAUCAGUUUAGUGGUACCUUUCUGUGCACAAGUGUCUUUGCAUGUUUUUGCAAAGUUUCCUCUCCAAGCAUGUUGAGUGCUUUAAUCAUGUUGAUGCUGCUGUUAUUUAGUUGGUACAGUAUAGUAUUCACUGUCAACGUUAGAGCCUUCUUUUGAACAUGUAUUAUGCUUGCCUUGAGCCUCUUUCCUUUCAUAAUAAAAGUAAUUACGAUG